rnacentral:rRNA from 1 species
UACGUAGGUGGCUAGCGUUGUCCGGAUUUACUGGGCGUAAAGAGCGCGCAGGCGGUCGUUCAAGUCGAGUGUGAAAGCCCCCGGCUCAACUGGGGAGGGUCACUCGAUACUGAUCGACUCGAAGGCAGGAGAGGGAAGCGGAAUUCCCGGUGUAGUGGUGAAAUGCGUAGAUAUCGGGAGGAACACCAGUGGCGAAGGCGGCUCUCUGGACCGAUACUGACGCUGAGGCGCGAAAGCGUGGGGAGCAAACAGG